rnacentral:rRNA from 1 species
UACGAAGGGUGCAAGGCGUUACUCGGAAUUACUGGGCGUAAAGCGUGCGUAGGUGGUUCGUUAAGUCUGAUGUGAAAGCCCUGGGCUCAACCUGGGAAUGGCAUUGGAUACUGGCGAUCUAGAGUGCGGUAGAGGGCAGUGGAAUUCCCGGUGUAGCAGUGAAAUGCGUAGAGAUCGGGAGGAACAUCUGUGGCGAAGGCGACUGCCUGGACCAGCACUGACACUGAGGCACGAAAGCGUGGGGGAGCAAACAGG